rnacentral:rRNA from 1 species
AUACGUAGGUGGCGAGCGUUGUCCGGAAUUACUGGGUGUAAAGGGCGUGUAGGCGGGUAUGCAAGUCAGAUGUGAAAUACCGGGGCUCAACUCCGGGGCUGCAUUUGAAACUGUAUAUCUUGAGUGCAGGAGAGGAAAGCGGAAUUCCUAGUGUAGCGGUGAAAUGCGUAGAUAUUAGGAGGAACACCAGUGGCGAAGGCGGCUUUCUGGACUGUAACUGACGCUGAGGCGCGAAAGCGUGGGGAGCGAACAGGAUUAGAUACCCUGGUAGUCCACGCCGUAAACGAUGGAUACUAGGUGUAGGAGGUAUCGACCCCUUCUGUGCCGGAGUUAACACAAUAAGUAUCCCACCUGGGGAGUACGACCGCAAGGUUGAA